UACGUAGGUGACCAGCGUUGUCCGGAUUUACUGGGCGUAAAGAGCGCGCAGGCGGUCGUUCAAGUCGAGUGUGAAAGCCCCCGGCUCAACUGGGGAGGGUCACUCGAUACUGAUCGACUUGAAGGCAGGAGGAGGGAAGCGGAAUUCCCGGUGUAGUGGUGAAAUGCGUAGAUAUCGGGAGGAACACCAGUGGCGAAGGCGGCUAUCUGGACCAGCACUGACACUCAGGCACGAAAGCGUGGGGAGCAAACAGG
rnacentral:rRNA from 1 species